GUUACCUGCCCCUACUAGGCUGUGUGGUCGGUUGACUGGGAGGUUUCCCCUUUUUUUUUUAAAGGAGCUCCUCUGCAUCGCUGCUUGUGCAGGUGACUUCUGCUGCUGAUUUGCUGCUGUGACUUCAAACCAUUGGGGCUGUCUGCUGACGGCGAGCUGCUGUUUUGUUUCUAGCGAAUUUCUUUAUUGUUUUGUUUGUGAUACUGUGUAUUCAUUUUUUUUUUUUUUUUUUUUGUAAUUGUUGCGUAGUGUGUAUAAUUAGAUCAUCAGCGCGCUAAAAUCGUUAGA